rnacentral:rRNA from 1 species
UACGGAGGGUGCAAGCGUUGUUCGGAAUUAUUGGGCGUAAAGCGCGUGUAGGCGGUUGAGUAAGUCAGAUGUGAAAGCCUUCCGCUUAACGGAAGAAGUGCAUUUGAAACUGCUCAGCUAGAGUACGGGAGAGGAGAGUGGAAUUCCCGGUGUAGAGGUGAAAUUCGUAGAUAUCGGGAGGAACACCAGUGGCGAAGGCGGCUCUCUGGUCCGAUACUGACGCUGAGACGCGAAAGCGUGGGGAGCAAACAGGAUUAGAUACCCCCGUAGUCC